rnacentral:rRNA from 1 species
UACAGAGGGGGCAAGCGUUAUUCGGAAUUAUUGGGCGUAAAGAGCGUGUAGGCGGCCAGGUAGGUCGGUUGUGAAAACUGGAGGCUCAACCUUCAGAGGUCGACCGAAACCAUCUGGCUAGAGUCCGGGAGAGGAGAGUGGAAUUCCUGGUGUAGCGGUGAAAUGCGCAGAUAUCAGGAAGAACACCCGUGGCGAAAGCGGCUCUCUGGAACGGUACUGACGCUGAGACGCGAAAGCGUGGGGAGCGAACAGG